UUGAACAAGCUGUGCGCCUGAUGCAAACUGCGUAAUUUAUUCGUAUACGUCCCGCGAAGUUUACGGUGAGAUAUGAUGAGAAUUCAUUUCUAUGCCUCUCGCUGUCGCUUAUAAAAAAGUGUAUACAUAUACUUUCCCUAAAACUCGGAGGAAAGCCUAUUACUACGUAUAUAGAAAUACAGCUCCGUCAAUUCUCACAAACAGGCUGUUCGCGCACAAUAAGAGCAAGCUAAACGGGGACAUGAUAAACGAAUAAAUAUAAAAGCCGCGCGAGAUAUAUAUUAUAUAGAAGAGAACCGGGGGUCGACCAAGCGUACGCUAUCGACGGGUCCGAUCUGCCGCUCGUAAACUCCAUUAUUUCAUCGCGAGUUUUUCACGGUCGACUCUGUCCUAUAUGUCUCUUUCUCUCCGCCCCUUAUACCCUCUUUCUGCGACCGCGUCUUCAUCCAGCGAUGCUCGCGAUCGAUCGGGGUGUCGUACCGCCGCAGCGGUGAACGCGACUUCGUAAUACACAUAGAUAAGAGAGAUAUGAUGUUGCAUAAAAUUCGGAAAAGUUUUAUCUCAUGAAAAAUUUUAGGGCUGACUACAAGGAGCCAAUACACAGAGGCCGCUACGAAAAGGAAGCAUACAUAAGUAUAUAAUAUAAAGGCAGAAUCGAAGGGAAAGCACAAAGCCGAGCGAGCAAGAGAGCAAACGGUACGAUACGACACACGGGCAGAUCGUCCGCGGCGAUAAGUCAUACACACUGUACCAGCGCGUCUAGCACUUGCGGAGAUGCGAAAGCGAACCCUCGAGGGAGAGACGGCGCAAACGUAUACAGCUGGCGCAGUGUCACGCGCUCUCCCUGGUCGCACUCACACACACACACGGACGCGCGCACACGACGAAAGCCGAGUCUUUACAAAUAUCCGCUGAUCGAUGCGCGAUAAGCCGAGAUAUCACCCCGAGCGCCAGAGCCUCUCCCGCUUUCACACACACAUGCGCGAGCGAAGCUCUCUCUGACGUAUAGCGUAUAGUGCGCAUAUAGUGGAGAAGAUAGGUCGUCCUGAAAGUGUAGGAGCGAGCGAGGCACGAAGCGUUAUAUCGAGCGUUCCACUUCGGUGCCACUUAAAGCGCUAUAAAGGCCGAGUGGGAGAGAGCGUGUACAUGACUUGCCGACGGAAGCUCAUCCUCUCCGACGCCGCCGCCGUCAGGCUGCAGCCACUAGAGCGUCUUACUUUCCGCGCGCCUACCCCCUCUCGCUUUUAUAUGACACUCUCGAGUCAACCCCUACUGUGAGCCUUGUGUAUUAUAUAUCUAGAUGUGGGCACGUACGCGUACAUAUAGGUAUAUAUACAUCAUAGGAGAGCUGUAUAUACGCGCACUUGCGGAGGCGGGCGGGAGAGCUCCGCAGUCGAGCCGUGAAUUUUCGCGGCCGGCUUAUAUACUAGUAGACUCGUCGAGCUUUGCGGUGCUGGUGGCACAGCGUGUACGUGUGUAGGGGUGGAUGUACGAUGCAUUGGAGCGUUACAUUCGAGUCGUUAAUGAUUGUGGAUUGGAUUUUGAAUUAGGGGGACUUUUGUUGCGCGAGAUUUUUUUAUUCGAUCAGUAGAUAAAUUGUCGGGGCAUAGCAAGACGGUCUUCUUAUUUUUUUCCCAACCAUUCGCAUCACGCAUUGCAAAUGUAAGAAAUGACGCAAACAGUGGAUUCAACAAACGAGACUCCCAACACUGAAAUAAACAACAAUCGUAACGGGAUAAAACGGCCCAGGACCGAUGGCGUUGAGGUAUUUGAAGGGAAGACUAAGAAAAUGAAAACUUCUGGAGAGAAGCGCGAGCAACAAGUCCGAUCGGACAAAGUUCAUACGUCUAAAAAAAAUUCACCGUCGCAUCCUAUAGACGUCAGCGUAUCAACCUUAAGUGCCUCCACGCCUGAGCGGUUAUCUCGUGAUUACGCAGCAAGCUGGAAGCCCAGCACAUCCGAUGAGGCGACAGAUGAACCUCUGGAUUUAUCUGUAGCCAAAAGGGACUCGGAGACUCAAGAAAUGACGCAAACAGUGGAUUCAACAAACGAGACUCCCAACACUGAAAUAAACAACAAUCGUAACGGGAUAAAACGGCCCAGGACCGAUGGCGUUGAGGUAUUUGAAGGGAAGACUAAGAAAAUGAAAACUUCUGGAGAGAAGCGCGAGCAACAAGUCCGAUCGGACAAAGUUCAUACGUCUAAAAAAAAUUCACCGUCGCAUCCUAUAGACGUCAGCGUAUCAACCUUAAGUGCCUCCACGCCUGAGCGGUUAUCUCGUGAUUACGCAGCAAGCUGGAAGCCCAGCACAUCCGAUGAGGCGACAGAUGAACCUCUGGAUUUAUCUGUAGCCAAAAGGGACUCGGAGACUCUUACCAGAAAGACGGCACAGGAACCGUUGGCCGACAUUGAAAGAUCGUUUCUCGGGAUUCAGAGAAGUGGGUCGCACAACGUCCCUGAUGAAGCCCUCGAAUUUUGGCAGACAGUAAGCGCAUGGUGGCAGAAUUUAUAGAAUAGCGGCAGAAUGAGCAAACUUGAAGAAGAAGAGAAGAAUUGCGCGUAGUCCGUUGGCAAGGGCCCCCGAGGUUACCGCCGCCAUAGAAUACAGUAAACGAGAAAAUAUUCCGCCCUCCUAUGAGAUAUUAGGAAAUCCUGCGAGAAGAAUCUGUAAAAAUUUUGUGUAAAAUUCUUUUGUAAGAAUUCUCGUAGGAACUUUUUUAGUUGAUAACGCGUUUUAAGCUAAUUUUUAUCUUGUAUUAACGAAAACUGUUCGGACAAAGUUCAAACGUCUAAAAAAAAAUUUACCGUCGCAUCCCAGAGACGUCAGCGCAUCAACCUCAAGUACCUCCACGCCUGAGCGGUUAGCUCGUAAGUUCGCAACAAGCAGGCGGCCUAGCACAUCCGAUGAGGCGACAGAUCUCUGGACACCUCUGGAUUUAUCUGUAGGCAAAUGGAACUCGGAGUAUCGUAGCUAGCAUACAAACUGCACGGGAAUCGUUGGCCGACAUUCGAAUUUCCUUACGUAGAAUUCAGACGAGCGGCCGCGUUUGUGAUAUAUAUAUACAUAUAGACACACACACGCGUACGUAUCUGACAUAAUUAGCGAAUAGACCUUGUAACGCGAUUGAAACGAAACUUUUUUAGUUGAUAACGCAUUUUAAGCUAAUUUUUAUCUUGUGUUAACGAAAACCAAUCCCAGUUUUCACUUAUGAAAUAAAAAAGUAUACAUAAAUAAAAAGAAACAUUCAUUUAUACACCAUAAUACCAAGGGGCGCGAUAGCGCCGUGUUGGCAAGAAAAAGUUCGAAGUUCGGUUUGAGACAACCCUGUAGGCAACCUGUAUACUUUACAAUUGGGUUUCCUAACCUUAAAAAAAUCUCGAUAGCAUAUAAAUCAUUAGUAUUGCACGUACACGCAAUCUGUUGGUAUCAACUUGAAAUAUAUUAACCUACUCUUGCAUUUCUAAAAAGAUUCAUCCGAAAAUAUCACGUUAUUAACUUAAUAUUGCAAGUUGAAAAUUUACUCGGUAUAUUUCUUUUCGUUUAGAGUUUCUUCUCCCGAUAUUUUGCCUCCCCCGGUCACGUGACUUCCGGUGAGUUAUGGAUUAUACGCCAGUGGUUACAAGCAGUUAAUCUACUUUACAUCCGUCUGCUACAAGGUGACGCGCGAUUGUGCUUAUAUAUAAUGUAAAUAUAAUAAUGCCAUACGAUUAUGUGAGAAGGCAUUUCCGCAUUUCCCGCGAUAUUAGAAACCAAGCUACGCUUUCCCGCUGCAAAUGACGGCGGGCGAAGCGGCGCUUUUCCUCUUUCGCACAGCCGAGGUGCAUCAGGGGAAAACUCCGAAUUUCGAGCCUUGGCGGAACAGCCCGAAACCCUCCUAACGAACGGCGGCAGCAGUGUCCUAACCAGCCCGAGCCCGCAGGGGUCCAUGGAGGAAGAAAAGCCGUCGGCCGAGAGCUUGGAUAGAUAAAAGAACCGACGCAAGCGACGGGGUUCAGUCUUGUCAGUCGUCAAUUAAGAGAUCAAUUUUCAAAUGUAAGCUCUAGACAUUAAGUAUUUCAAUAAACAAACAGCGUAAU